CCUACGGGUGACAGCAGUGAGGAAUAUUGGUCAAUGGGCGGGAGCCUGAACCAGCCAAGCCGCGUGCGGGAAGAAGGUACAGCGUAUCGUAAACCGCUUUUGUCCGGGGACAAAGGCGGGGACUAGUCCCCGGAUGAGAGUACCUGAAGAAAAAGCAUCGGCUAACUCCGUGCCAGCAGCCGCGGUAAUACGGAGGAUGCGAGCGUUAUCCGGAUUUAUUGGGUUUAAAGGGUGCGCAGGCGGCCUGUUAAGUCAGCGGUAAAAGCCCGGGGUUAAACCCGGGAGAGCCGUUGAAACUGGCGGGCUGGAGUGGGAGAGAAGUACGCGGAAUGCGCGGUGUAGCGGUGAAAUGCUUAGAGAUCGCGCAGAACCCCGAUUGCGAAGGCAGCGUACCGGCUCCACACUGACGCUGAGGCACGAAAGCGUGGGUAGCGAACAGGAGUAGAUACCCGGGUAGUC
rnacentral:rRNA from 1 species